rnacentral:lncRNA from 1 species
UGGCAUUAUGUCAUCUCCCCCUAUACAGGGUCAGUGAAGGUCAUCUCCCCCUAUACAGGGUCAGUGAAGGACAUCUCCCACUAUACAGGGUCAGUGAAGGACAUCUCCCACUAUACAGGGUCAGUGAAGGUCAUCUCCCACUAUACAGGGUCAGUGAAGGACAUCUCCCACUAUACAGGGGCAGUGAAGGACAUCUCCCACUAUACAGGGUCAGUGAAGAUCAUCUCCAACUAUACAGGGUCAGUGAAGGUCAUCUCCCUCUAUACAGGGUCAGUGAAGGACAUAUCCCACUAUACAGGGUCAGUGAAGGUCAUCUCCCCCUAUACAGGGUCAGUGAAG